AUUUAAGUGACCUUAAUAUUAUGCGUAAACCUAAGUGUGCAUUUGUAGGCGGUGUCGAAAUGGGUCUAUAGCUCUGCCUGAACUGUCGUCCAAUUGGUUUACAAGUCCGGCUGAAGUGACAGGCCAUCAAAAACUGUACAGUGUGACUGAUUCGGAGACGGCCCUCAACACUCGCCCAGUCGUGUCGAGAGGAUCGGUGUCUUUGCAGAUUACACGGAAUUGAGCACCCGGGCCAGACUGACACUUUCCGGAGCCUGCCCGAGACGGAACUCGAGCCGAGGAAUCAUAGGUCCAGGCGGUGUCGAAAUGGGUCUAUAGCUCUGCCUGAACUGUCGUCCAAUUGGUUUACAAGUCCGGCUGAAGUGACAGGCCAUCAAAAACUGUACAGUGUGACUGAUUCGGAGACGGCCCUCAACACUCGCCCAGUCGUGUCGAGAGGAUCGGUGUCUUUGC